UACGUAGGGGGCAAGCGUUGUCCGGAAUUAUUGGGCGUAAAGCGCGCGCAGGCGGUUCCUUAAGUCUGAUGUGAAAGCCCACGGCUCAACCGUGGAGGGUCAUUGGAAACUGGGGAACUUGAGUGCAGAAGAGGAGAGCGGAAUUCCACGUGUAGCGGUGAAAUGCGUAGAGAUGUGGAGGAACACCAGUGGCGAAGGCGGCUCUCUGGUCUGUAACUGACGCUGAGGCGCGAAAGCGUGGGGAGCAAACAGG
rnacentral:rRNA from 1 species